UGUAUAUAAUGUAAGUUCAGUGCUAUGUGCGUGAGACAGUGAGUCACGAUAGAAUUAGGUUUAGACAUUUUUUUUUAUUCUUUAGAUUUAACCUUUUUUUUUUGUCAUGACCAAUCCAAUCAAAUUUUCAGAUUAGAUCGGGUUGGGUAAAGUACUACUCGAUCAGAUUGGGCAAAUAAUUCGAUCCAAUCUAAUCCUAAUUUUUUUUUUGUUGGGUUCGGUUGGAUCGGGUUAUUUGCCUAUCUUUACCACAGCAUCACUGUCUCCCUAGUAAAUACAACCAAUGGAGUCCUCCAUAGGCGCAUCUUCAUAGAUUGUAUAUCCAUUCCAUGUAAGGCGUUAGCGAAGAUGAUAUCUACGAAACUUUUAGUGUCACAAGUGCAUCAUUAUAGGCAUAAGAGAAUCCCUCGACAACACUGUUAACUUUUAAGUUUGGAGGUGGGUGUUUUUAUAGAGGUGGAUGUGUUAGGGGCGUCUCAUCUAUUGUUCCUACUUAUUUUAUCCCUUUCUUUUGGGACAUCGAUGAAAAAUUCAGGGGUUUGUCGUUGUUGAUAAGGGUUUGGAUCUUCUUCUUGAGGUAGAAGUAUUUUGUAGUUAUAUGGCCAUAAUCUUGGUGGAACUCACAAUACUUGUUGUUAAGCAGUCCCUUAUAUUUAAUCUAAAAAAAGGAUUUGCUCACACAUGGUAUUGAGCUCGUCAUAAUAAGAAAAACAGAAAAUCAAGAGGAGAUGCUCAUUUUGGGAACAAUUAAGCAGUUAGGGACGAUUUCCCAGAUUAGGUUAGCGUGGUGUUCUUGACAAAUGAGGGUUGUUGUAUGCUCUAUUUCAGCGAGAAAGAGGUAGGGAGCUUCAAUUACACUCUUAUCUCUGUGAAGAUUCAUGUUUUGCCUAUAGUGGUUGGGCCAUCUCAUGUCUUUUAAUGGUAAAACGUUCUUCGAUAUCGAUGAGCUCAAAAGCCCGAUGGUGUGUUGCUACAUAUAUUUUAGGCUCAUUGUAUUUAUUGAACUUUUUGUAGAUCUUCUCGUCUUUGAGAUUUUUACAGAAGAUCUAAAGGGUUAUUCCUUCACUGCAUUAAUGACGCCUUUAAUGGGCAUUUGGCCUUCAUAAGUCUCAAGGCGUAUGGUGGGAUUGGUACGGCCUUCAUGGGGUGAGAUUUGGGGUAUGGUAAAGUCAAUUAAAAAGAACCAAGCCAGCGAUUUUCUUGGUGAGUGUGGAGUGCAAGGAAGGGGGAGAUCUCAGGGAUGAUUCCCUUUCCUUUUGCAAUCUGAUCUACUUUUUUACAGUGGUAAAGUUCAGCCAUUACAUCACUAUUAACUUAUUCUCAGCCAACUCUUCCCCCUUACAUUAAAGCUUAGCAUUCCACUUGUCAUGGAGAUCAAUAAAGAUGGGCGGGGUUUGCCUUUUGGGUUGUCCCCUUAUAUUGUAACUGGUGGCGGUGAAUUUUACAUCUUUAUUGUGUAUAAGUUUCGUUUUUAAUCCAGUUAAGGGAGUUUACUUGGUCUAGCCCUAGUAGAUGGGAUGGCUGGAAUCGUCACAGUGAGUGGUGGAGUAAGACCGACUUUGUCCAGGAGUAUGAGAUGAAAAACGGCUUGGAGGAUGUAUCUUAUCAACUGUUGAACAUCAUCUUGGGUUAAAGGCUUUUCAUUUUGCUUGGAGACUGCUUUGGCUAGAGCUUUGCUUUAGCCGUCGGAGUUCUAUUGGCUGUGUUUCUCACGGCCCUCAAUAGUAUCUUGUUAGGGGUCAUCACCCUCUUGUGGGUUGUUAGUGACCAUAUUUGAUUUAUGGGUAAAUAGGUUUUUUAUAGGUAAAGGUAAAAAUUUUUGGAGAAAAGUAGUUUGUUUUUUUUUUUUGUGAAAGAUGCAAUCUUUAAUGGAAAAAGUAAUGGCUUUAUAUGUAGAAAUGAGUGGGUACAAUUACAGAGUGGGUGGAUUCUUUAAAGAUAAGAGGCUUUCUUUGUUAAUGGAGGUUAGGAUAAUGAACUUUUUGUUCGA
rnacentral:lncRNA from 1 species